rnacentral:rRNA from 1 species
GCCCCGGUAAACGGCGGCCGUAACUAUAACGGUCCUAAGGUAGCGAAAUUCCUUGUCGGGUAAGUUCCGACCUGCACGAAUGGCGUAAUGAUGGCCAGGCUGUCUCCACCCGAGACUCAGUGAAAUUGAACUCGCUGUGAAGAUGCAGUGUACCCGCGGCAAGACGGAAAGACCCCGUGAACCUUUACUAUAGCUUGACACUGAACAUUGAGCCUUGAUGUGUAGGAUAGGUGGGAGGCUUUGAAGUGUGGACGCCAGUCUGCAUGGAGCCGACCUUGAAAUACCACCCUUUAAUGUUUGAUGUUCUAACGUGGGCCCGUAAUCCGGGUUGCGGACAGUGUCUGGUGGGUAGUUUGACUGGGGCGGUCUCCUCCUAAAGAGUAACGGAGGAGCACGAAGGUUGGCUAAUCCUGGUCGGACAUCAGGAGGUUAGUGCAAUGGCAUAAGCCAGCUUGACUGCGAGCGUGACGGCGCGAGCAGGUGCGAAAGCAGGUCAUAGUGAUCCGGUGGUUCUGAAUGGAAGGGCCAUCGCUCAACGGAUAAAAGGUACUCCGGGGAUAACAGGCUGAUACCGCCCAAGAGUUCAUAUCGACGGCGGUGUUUGGCACCUCGAUGUCGGCUCAUCACAUCCUGGGGCUGAAGUAGGUCCCAAGGGUAUGGCUGUUCGCCAUUUAAAGUGGUACGCGAGCUGGGUUUAGAACGUCGUGAGACAGUUCGGUCCCUAUCUGCCGUGGGCGCUGGAGAACUGAGGGGGGCUGCUCCUAGUACGAGAGGACCGGAGUGGACGCAUCACUGGUGUUCGGGUUGUCAUGCCAAUGGCACUGCCCGGUAGCUAAAUGCGGAAGAGAUAAGUGCUGAAAGCAUCUAAGCACGAAACUUGCCCCGAGAUGAGUUCUCCCUGACCCUUUAAGGGUCCUGAAGGAACGUUGAAGACGACGACGUUGAUAGGCCGGGUGUGUAAGCGCAGCGAUGCGUUGAGCUAACCGGUACUAAUGAACCGU